ACUCCAUGAUGGGGACAUCUUCUAAGCAGCUCUUUGAAUCUUUCCCAAGCGUCAAAUAAGGAUUAAUAUUCUCCUUGUCUAAACGAAGUAAUCUCGUUCCUCAUCAU